UACGAAGGGGGCUAGCGUUACUCGGAUUGACUGGGCGUAAAGGGCGCGUAGGCGGUUCGUACAGUCAGACGUGAAAUUCCUGGGCUCAACCUGGGGGCUGCGUUUGAUACGUGCGGGCUUGAGUUCGGAAGAGGGUCGUGGAAUUCCCAGUGUAGAGGUGAAAUUCGUAGAUAUUGGGAAGAACACCGGUGGCGAAGGCGGCGACCUGGUCCGAUACUGACGCUGAGGAGCGAAAGCGUGGGGAUCAAACAGG
rnacentral:rRNA from 1 species